GGGGAGAGUCUUAGAAUCCCCACAGAACGAGUGUGUAAAUAGUGGCGUCUUUGGCCGGGCGCAACGGUUUGUGAAUC
ncrna:unclassified sequences L13-Bacteroidia ribosomal protein leader